rnacentral:sRNA from 1 species
UUUGGCGGUGGUGUAGCGGUCGGGGUCGUCGCCGAACUCCGCGAGCACCCGGGCACCGAGGACCGGUCCCAGUCCGGGUUGG